GAAAUCCCAGAAAAUUCCACCGCUCUUCCUGCUCUAGGCGGUCUGCCGCGCCGCUGUCACCAUUUCCAGAAUCCGGUGAGAUGAGGGGCGCCGCUUCUUCCUCCGGUCACCACCACGUCCUCUUCCUCAAAAUCGUCGACGCCGUCCUCACCACCCAGUUCGCGCCGCCUCCACCAACCAAACCAACCGGAUUUGGAAGGAAAAUGGUGUUCAUUAGAAUACCCGGUGCUUAUAACAAUAAGUCAGAUAUGAUUUAAGACUAGCGGAGGGUUUUUUCGGGUUUAACUUUCGGUGGAGUAUUGUGGAGACAAGCUGAAAAAGAGUUCAAGGUCGAGGUGGAAGCAAUUGGACAUGUUAGACACAAGAAUCUUGCCAGGUUGCUCGGUUACUGUGUCGAAGGAGCCUACAGGUAUCAUAAAUGAAUCUAAGUUGCAAGUUAUGUUGCUCCCGAAUAUGCUUGCACUGGUAUGCUGAACGAGAAGAGUGAUGUGGAAUAUUGAUCAUGGAGAACGAGAAUAUGAUUUGGAAUAUUGAUCAUGGAGAUCAUCUCCGGUUGAUUAUUCCCAGCCACAGGGAGAGGUUAAUCUUGUUGAAUGGCUGAAGAUGAUGGUUGGAAACAGGAAAUCUGAGGAAGUAGCAGAUCCCAAGUUGUCUGAACGGCCUACCUCCAAAGCGCUGAUGCGCACCUGCUCUUGGUAGCCCUUCGAUGCGUUGAUCCUGAUGCCCAGAAACGGCCCAAGAUGGGACAAGUCAUACACAUUAUGGAAUCAGAAGACUUCCAAUCUCGCGAGGAGCGACGAAUUGGUCGGAAGUCUUCCAAUUCGAUUGGGGAACAUAGUCAUCGAGGUAUGGUCAUUAAACAAAGCAAUGAAGACAUCUCUGAUACUAGUGAAGGAGAAGGCAAUAGAAGUUAUAGAUAUAGAGAAAUAGUUGUAUAAUCAAAUAUGGAUGCUACUGUUUCUCAAUAUUUUCAUCUGCUUAGUUAUUCAUUCCAUCUAAAUUCAGGUAUAUUCAUCACAAUUUUUCCUCCAAUAUAGUUGCAUAAAUUAUUCAGGUAUAGUUGCCGACACAAUAAAUUAUAUUCAACAAAUCAGUAAAAUAUGUUCACCAAAAUUAAUAAAUUAUUCAUUGCAAAAAUUGAGUUAUGUUCAUCUAGAAAAUGAGAUUUGUUCAGUAAAGUUCAAAGGC